rnacentral:rRNA from 1 species
UACAGAGGGUGCAAGCGUUAAUCGGAUUGACUGGGCGUAAAGGGCGCGUAGGCGGUUAUAUAAGAUAGAUGUGAAAUCCCUGGGCUUAACCUAGGAACGGCAUCUAAGACUGUAUAGCUGGAGUAUUGUAGAGGGUAGUGGAAUUUCCGGUGUAGCGGUGAAAUGCGUAGAGAUCGGAAGGAACACCAGUGGCGAAGGCGGCUACCUGGACAAUUGCUGACGCUCAGGCACGAAAGCGUGGGGAGCAAAAGGG